CCCGGUGAUCAUGGAGUUCUGGCCAUACCCGUUCCCAUCCCGAACACGGUCGUCAAGCAGUUCUCGCCGAUGAUAGUGCACUAGCGCGAAAGUAGGUUGUCGCCGGGU
rnacentral:rRNA from 1 species